rnacentral:rRNA from 1 species
GUGGGGAAUUUUGGACAAUGGGCGCAAGCCUGAUCCAGCAAUGCCGCGUGCAGGAAGAAGGCCUUCGGGUUGUAAACUGCUUUUGUACGGAACGAAACGGUCCUGGCUAAUAUCCGGGGCUAAUGACGGUACCGUAAGAAUAAGCACCGGCUAACUACGUGCCAGCAGCCGCGGUAAUACGUAGGGUGCGAGCGUUAAUCGGAAUUACUGGGCGUAAAGCGUGCGCAGGCGGUGCUGUAAGACAGGCGUGAAAUCCCCGGGCUCAACCUGGGAAUUGCGCUUGUGACUGAAAGGCUGGAGUGCGGCAGAGGGGGAUGGAAUUCCGCGUGUAGCAGUGAAAUGCGUAGAUAUGCGGAGGAACACCGAUGGCGAAGGCAAUCCCCUGGGCCUGCACUGACGCUCAUGCACGAAAGCGUGGGGAGCAAACAGGAUUAGAAACCCGGGUAGUCC